rnacentral:rRNA from 1 species
GACGAACGCUGGCGGCGUGCCUAAUACAUGCAAGUAGAACGCUGAAGAGAGGAGCUUGCUCUUCUUGGAUGAGUUGCGAACGGGUGAGUAACGCGUAGGUAACCUGCCUUGUAGCGGGGGAUAACUAUUGGAAACGAUAGCUAAUACCGCAUAACAAUGGAUGACCCAUGUCAUUUAUUUGAAAGGGGCAAAUGCUCCACUACAAGAUGGACCUGCGUUGUAUUAGCUAGUAGGUGAGGUAACGGCUCACCUAGGCGACGAUACAUAGCCGACCUGAGGGGGUGAUCGGCCACACUGGGACUGAGACACGGCCCAGACUCCUACGGGAGGCAGCAGUAGGGAAUCUUCGGCAAUGGGGGCAACCCUGACCGAGCAACGCCGCGUGAGUGAAGAAGGUUUUCGGAUCGUAAAGCUCUGUUGUAAGUCAAGAACGAGUGUGAGAGUGGAAAGUUCACACUGUGACGGUAGCUUACCAGAAAGGGACGGCUAACUACGUG